GCAAAUAGGCUCUCGCUAGCUCGUGCCUGUCUCUGCCCACCUCCUUGCUUGUUCUGCCCUCUAUGAUUAAUUUGGAAACCACAGUCUGUGGUCUAUCUUGGGUUAGUUAUACAAAUCUUCAGCUCUACUUUCAUUGGUCUUAAGGAUUUGUUUACUUUUUUUGCGCAUAGCUUGCGACACAGCGGUCGGUGAAGACAUCAUGGAUGUAUAACCCAUUACAUUCAGGAGCCAAGGAGAGAGGAUGCGCAUGGAGAGGAGGGCCGUGGAGAGGACGAUGUACAAAAUGCCUACAAUCUUUCGGUACUUGCAAGAGGAAGAGCGACCUGAGAAGGGUGUUCUGCAACCAGAAAAGACUGUGCUUAUCUGCUAUGAUUGCCUCAUCCAAGCUCAACAAUCUCUACAUUGGGAGAGAUCUUAGACCAUUCCUCCAUACAGAAUCAUUUCAGAUCCUUGAUAUCCUUCAUCUGCGCUUAUGGACUGCC